rnacentral:rRNA from 1 species
GACGAACGCUGGCGGCGUGCUUAACACAUGCAAGUCGAACGGAAAGGCCCUGCUUUUGUGGGGUGCUCGAGUGGCGAACGGGUGAGUAACACGUGAGUAACCUGCCCUUGACUUUGGGAUAACUUCAGGAAACUGGGGCUAAUACCGGAUAGGAGCUCCUGCUGCAUGAUGGGGGUUGGAAAGUUUCGGCGGUUGGGGAUGGACUCGCGGCUUAUCAGCUUGUUGGUGGGGUAGAGGCUUACCAAGGCUUUGACGGGUAGCCGGCCUGAGAGGGUGACCGGGCACAUUGGGACUGAGAUACGGCCCAGACUCCUACGGGAGGCAGCAGGGGGGAAUAUUGCACAAUGGGCGGAAGCCUGAUGCAGCACCGCCGCGUGCGGGAUGACGGCCUUCGGGUUGUAAACCGCCUUCGCCUGUGACGAAGCGUGAGUGACGGUAAUGGGUAAAGAAGCACCGGCUAACUACGUG